rnacentral:rRNA from 1 species
AUUGAACGCUAGCGGGAUGCCUUACACAUGCAAGUCGAACGGAGUGGCGGACGGGUGAGUGAUGAAUGGGAACGUGCCCAGUAGCGGGGGAUAACUACGCGAAAGCGUAGCUAAUACCGCAUACUAGUGGACCGGCGGAUAUGGGAUUAGCUAGUUGGUGGGGUAACGGCUGCCCCAGGCGACGGACCCUAGCUGGUUUGAGAGGACGACCAGCCACACUGGGACUGAGACACGGCCCAGACUCCUACGGGAGGCAGCAGUGGGGAAUUUUGGACAAUGGGUGCAAGCCUGAUGCAGCCAUGCCGCGUGUGCGAAGAAGGCCUUCGGGUUGUAAAGCACUUUUAGCAGGAAAGCGGUACCUGCAGAAGAAGCACCGGCUAACUACGUGCCAGCAGCCGCGGUAAUAC